rnacentral:rRNA from 1 species
GAUGAACGCUGGCGGCGUGCCUAAUACAUGCCAGUCGAGCGAACGGACGAGAAGCUUGCUUCUCUGAUGUUAGCGGCGGACGGGUGAGUAACACGUGGAUAACCUACCUAUAAGACUGGGAUAACUUCGGGAAACCGGAGCUAAUACCGGAUAAUAUUUUGAACCGCAUGGUUCAAAAGUGAAAGACGGUCUUGCUGUCACUUAUAGAUGGAUCCGCGCUGCAUUAGCUAGUUGGUAAGGUAACGGCUUACCAAGGCAACGAUGCAUAGCCGACCUGAGAGGGUGAUCGGCCACACUGGAACUGAGACACGGUCCAGACUCCUACGGGAGGCAGCAGUAGGGAAUCUUCCGCAAUGGGCGAAAGCAUGACGGAGCAACGCCGCGUGAGUGAUGAAGGUCUUCGGAUCGUAAAACUCUGUUAUUAGGGAAGAACAAAUGUGUAAGUAACUGUGCACGUCUUGACGGUACCUAAUCAGAAAGCCACGGCUAACUACGUG